GGAAAAAGGAUAGUGUAUAUUACUUUUCUCAAGCCUUGUAGGUCCGUUUAUUUUAAGCAUUAAUUGCUUGCCUCCUCUCUCUGUCGUUGAACAACCAAGAAAAGGGAAAAUCCCUACCGCUCUCUCUCUCUCUCUCCUAUUUUUGCUUUUUCUGAUUCAGCAUCCAUUUCCUCUCGAUUUUCAUUAGUUUUCAACAAAUUGCGCGGAUUCCAAAGGAAUUCUUUCAAAGCUGAAAGUCCGACAUCAAACUACAACAAGAAAUUGUGGUUUUGGGGGCUCUCUAUAAAGAACCCCAUCCUGUACUAUCACACACACAAGAGCUUUCACAAGCAAAAAACGUAGAAUUUUAAGUUUGUGACAAAGUGAUCCGACUAUAAUUGGAAUACUCUCUAAUUUUAGGAUCUAGUUUAAAAUUUUCUCUUUGUUUUGUGGCUGAGUAUGAGUGUGGAGGAAGAUCAAGGUCUCCACGUCCAUUCUCGACCAAAGGCUGCACAAGAGAAAGUUUUUCGACGAAACGGGAAGUGAGUUUGGAAAGGCUUAAGGAGCGCGAAAGGUACUGACGACAGGUUCGCUGAUCCACACGUUUAGGAUCCUAUUUCUGCUAUUUGGGGCGCUCUCUUCUACAGAGCCCAUCUUUUGGUACAGUCUGUCACUGCUAUCUGGAUAUGUACUUUGUUCAGGGUAUGACGGGGCCCUGUCCCAUCUUAUGAUUAUGAUAUGUUCUGUAGAGGUCUGUGGAUACAUCUGUGUGGGUUCUGUACAUAUGUUUGGGAUAUUCUGUUCUGUGAUGGCCUUAUCGGCCUAUGUGUGC